rnacentral:rRNA from 1 species
GACGAACGCUGGCGGCGUGCUUAACACAUGCAAGUCGAACGAGGGAAUUGAAAGCUUGCUUUUGAAACCCGAGUGGCAAACGGGUGAGUAACGCGUAGGCAACCUGCCGUUGAGAUGGGGACAACAUCCCGAAAGGGGUGCUAAUACCGAAUGUUGUGGUGAAUCCGCAUGGAUUUACCACUAAAGAUGACCUCUAUUUAUAAGUUAUCGCUCAACGAUGGGCCUGCGUCUGAUUAGCUAGUUGGUGGGGCAACGGCCUACCAAGGCGACGAUCAGUAGCCGGUCUGGAGAGGAUGAACGGCCACAUUGGAACUGAGACACGGUCCA